ACACAUGCAAGUCGAGCGGUAACAGGAGAAGCUUGCUUCUCGCUGACGAGCGGCGGACGGGUGAGUAACGCGUGAGAAUCUGCCCAUUUGUGGGGGAUAACUUGGGGAAACCCAAGCUAAUACCGCAUAAUCCCUACGGGGGAAAGCAGGGGACCUUCGGGCCUUGUGCAGAUGGAUGAGCUCGCGUCGGAUUAGCUAGUUGGUGGGGUAAAGGCCUACCAAGGCGACGAUCCGUAGCUGGUCUGAGAGGAUGAUCAGCCACACCGGGACUGAGACACGGCCCGGACUCCUACGGGAGGCAGCAGUGGGGAAUCUUGGACAAUGGGGGCAACCCUGAUCCAGCCAUGCCGCGUGUGUGAAGAAGGCCCUAGGGUUGUAAAGCACUUUCAGUAGGGAGGAAGGCUUCGGGUUAAUACCUUGGAGUACUUGACGUUACCUACAGAAGAAGCACCGGCUAAUUUCGUGCCAGCAGCCGCGGUAAUACGAAAGGUGCGAGCGUUAAUCGGAAUUACUGGGCGUAAAGCGCGCGUAGGCGGUUUGUUAAGUCAGAUGUGAAAGCCCUGGGCUCAACCUGGGAAUUGCAUUUGAAACUGGCAAGCUAGAAUGCAGUAGAGGGAGGUGGAAUUUCCGGUGUAGCGGUGAAAUGCGUAGAGAUCGGAAGGAACACCAGUGGCGAAGGCGGCCUCCUGGACUGACAUUGACGCUGAGGUGCGAAAGCGUGGGGAGCAAACAGGAUUAGAUACCCUGGUAGUCCACGCCGUAAACGAUGUCUACUAGUCGUUGGGAAUCUUAGUAUUCUUGGUGACGAAGUUAACGCGAUAAGUGUUCCGCCUGGGGAGUACGCACGCAAGUGUGAAACUCAAGGAAUUGACGGGGGCCCGCACAAGCGGUGGAGUAUGUGGUUUAAUUCGAUGCAACGCGAAGAACCUUACCAGGUUUGACAUCCUGCGAAUCUCUUGUAAACGAGAGAGUGCCUUCGGGACGCAGUGACAGGUGGUGCAUGCUGUCGUCAGCUCGUGUCGUGAGAUGUUGGGUUAGUCCCGCAACGAGCGCAACCCACGUCUUUAAUUUGUCAGCAUUUUAUUUGGGGCACCUCUAGAG
rnacentral:rRNA from 1 species